rnacentral:rRNA from 1 species
CCUACGGGAGGCAGCAGUGAGGAAUAUUGGUCAAUGGCCGCAGGGCUGAACCAGCCAAGUCGCGUGAGGGAUGACGGUCCUAUGGAUUGUAAACCUCUUUUGUCAGGGAGCAAAGGGCGCCACGUGUGGCGCUUUGCGAGUACCUGAAGAAAAAGCAUCGGCUAACUCCGUGCCAGCAGCCGCGGUAAUACGGAGGAUGCGAGCGUUAUCCGGAUUUAUUGGGUUUAAAGGGUGCGCAGGCGGAAUGUCAAGUCAGCGGUAAAAUUUCGGGGCUCAACCCCGUCGUGCCGUUGAAACUGGCGUUCUUGAGUGAGCGAGAAGUAUGCGGAAUGCGUGGUGUAGCGGUGAAAUGCAUAGAUAUCACGCAGAACUCCGAUUGCGAAGGCAGCAUACCGGCGCUCAACUGACGCUCAUGCACGAAAGUGUGGGUAUCGAACAAGAUUAGAUACCCGAGUAGUC